rnacentral:pre_miRNA from 1 species
AGUGGAAUAGCUGAGUCAUAUGGUGGUUCCAUUCCUAAUUUUUUGAGGAAUCUCUAUACUGCUCUCCAGAGUGGUUGCACUAAUUUUAAGUCUCACCAGCAAC